UACGGGGGGGGGCAAGCGUUGUUCGGAAUUACUGGGCGUAAAGGGCUCGUAGGCGGCCAACUAAGUCAGACGUGAAAUCCCUCGGCUUAACCGGGGAACUGCGUCUGAUACUGGAUGGCUUGAGUUUGGGAGAGGGAUGCGGAAUUCCAGGUGUAGCGGUGAAAUGCGUAGAUAUCUGGAGGAACACCGGUGGCGAAGGCGGCUACCUAGACAGGUACUGACGCUGAAGCGCGAAAGCUAGGGGAGCAAACAGG
rnacentral:rRNA from 1 species